AGUGGCGGACGGGUGAGUAACACGUAGGAAUCUAUCCCGGGGUGGGGGAUAACAGUGGGAAACUACUGCUAAUACCGCAUGAUACCUGAGGGUCAAAGGCGCAAGUCGCCUUGGGAGGAGCCUGCGUCUGAUUAGCUUGUUGGUGGGGUAAAGGCCUACCAAGGCGACGAUCAGUAGCUGGUCUGAGAGGAUGAUCAGCCACAUUGGGACUGAGACACGGCCCAAACUCCUACGGGAGGCAGCAGUGGGGAAUAUUGGACAAUGGGGGAAACCCUGAUCCAGCAAUGCCGCGUGUGUGAAGAAGGUCUUCGGAUUGUAAAGCACUUUUGACAGGGACGAUGAUGACGGUACCCGCAGAAUAAGCCCCGGCUAACUUCGUGCCAGCAGCCGCGGUAAUACGAAGGGGGCUAGCGUUGCUCGGAAUGACUGGGCGUAAAGGGCGCGUAGGCGGCACACACAGUCAGAAGUGAAAUUCCUGGGCUUAACCUGGGGGCUGCGUUUGAUACGUACGGGCUUGAGUUCGGAAGAGGGUCGUGGAAUUCCCAGUGUAGAGGUGAAAUUCGUAGAUAUUGGGAAGAACACCGGUGGCGAAGGCGGCGACCUGGUCCGAUACUGACGCUGAGGCGCGAAAGCGUGGGGAGCAAACAGGAUUAGAUACCCUGGUAGUCCACGCCGUAAACGAUGUGUGCUGGAUGUUGGGGGGCCUAGCCCUUCAGUGUCGUAGCUAACGCGAUAAGCACACCGCCUGGGGAGUACGGCCGCAAGGUUGAAACUCAAAGGAAUUGACGGGGGCCCGCACAAGCGGUGGAGCAUGUGGUUUAAUUCGA
rnacentral:rRNA from 1 species